GAUGAACGCUAGCUACAGGCUUAACACAUGCAAGUCGAGGGGAAACGAUAUUGGAAGCUUGCUUCCGAUAGGCGUCGACCGGCGCACGGGUGAGUAACGCGUAUCCAACCUGCCCACCACUUGGGGAUAACCUUGCGAAAGUGAGACUAAUACCCAAUGAUAUCUCAAGAAGACAUCUGAAUGAGAUUAAAGAUUUAUCGGUGAUGGAUGGGGAUGCGUCUGAUUAGCUUGUUGGCGGGGUAACGGCCCACCAAGGCGACGAUCAGUAGGGGUUCUGAGAGGAAGGUCCCCCACAUUGGAACUGAGACACGGUCCAAACUCUUACGGGAGGCAGCAGUGAGGAAUAUUGGUCAAUGGGCGAGAGCCUGAACCAGCCAAGUAGCGUGCAGGAUGACGGCCCUAUGGGUUGUAAACUGCUUUUAUAAGGGAAUAAAGUGAGCCUCGUGAGGCUUUUUGCAUGUACCUUAUGAAUAAGGACCGGCUAAUUCCGUGCCAGCCGCCGCCGUAA
rnacentral:rRNA from 1 species